GUGCUCGCUUUGGCAGCACAUAUACUAAAAUUGAAACAAUACAGAGAAGAUUAGCAUGGCCCCUGUGCAAGGAUGACAUGCAAAUUCGUGAAGCGUUCCAUAUUUUU
ensembl:snRNA U6 U6 spliceosomal RNA